AGUGAACGCUGGCGGUAGGCCUAACACAUGCAAGUCGAACGGCAGCACAGGAGAGCUUGCUCUCUGGGUGGCGAGUGGCGGACGGGUGAGGAAUACAUCGGAAUCUACUCUGUCGUGGGGGAUAACGUAGGGAAACUUACGCUAAUACCGCAUACGACCUACGGGUGAAAGCAGGGGAUCUUCGGACCUUGCGCGAUUGAAUGAGCCGAUGUCGGAUUAGCUAGUUGGCGGGGUAAAGGCCCACCAAGGCGACGAUCCGUAGCUGGUCUGAGAGAAUGAUCAGCCACACUGGAACUGAGAGACGGUCCAAACUCCUACGGGAGGCAGCAGUGGGGAAUAUUGGACCAUGGGCGCAAGCCUGAUCCAGCCAUACCGCGUGGGUGAAGAAGGCCUUCGGGUUGUAAAGCCCUUUUGUUGGGAAAGAAAUCCAGCUGGCUAAUACCCGGUUGGGAUGACGGUACCCAAAGAAUAAGCACCGGCUAACUUCGUGCCAGCAGCCGCCGCGG
rnacentral:rRNA from 1 species